rnacentral:rRNA from 1 species
AGGAUGGGUCUGCGGCCUAUCAGGUAGUAGUGGGUGUAGCGUACCUACUAGCCUACGACGGGUACGGGUUGUGAGAGCAAGAGCCCGGAGAUGGAUUCUGAGACACGAAUCCAGGCCCUACGGGGUGCAGCAGGCGCGAAAACUUUACAAUGCUGGCAACAGCGAUAAGGGAACCUCGAGUGCCAGGUUACAAAUCUGGCUGUCGAGAUGCCUAAAAAGCAUUUCAUAGCAAGGGCCGGGCAAGACCGGUGCCAGCCGCCGCGGUAACACCGGCGGCUCGAGUGGUAACCGUUAUUAUUGGGUCUAAAGGGUCUGUAGCCGGCCGGAUAAGUCUCUUGAGAAAUCUGGCAGCUUAACUGUCAGGCUUUCAGGAGAUACUGUCUGGCUCGAGGCCGGGAGAGGUGAGAGGUACUUCAGGGGUAGGGGUGAAAUCUUGUAAUCCUUGAAGGACCACCAGUGGCGAAGGCGUCUCACCAGAACGGACCUGACGGCAAGGGACGAAAGCUAGGGGCACGAACCGGAUUAGAUACCCGGGUAGUCCUAGCCGUAAACGAUACUCGCUAGGUGUCGGCCACGGUGCGACCGUUGUCGGUGCCGUAGGGAAGCCGUGAAGCGAGC